rnacentral:rRNA from 1 species
AGCAGCCGCGGUAAUUCCAGCUCCAAUAGCGUAUAUUUAAGUUGUUGCGGUUAAAAAGCUCGUAGUUGAAUUUCGGGAUCAGUAGGUCGGUCGUGCCACUGGUAUGCACUGGCCUCACUGGUUCCUCCUUCCUGAUGAACCGUAAUGCCAUUAAUUUGGUGUUGCGGGGAAACUGGACUGUUACUUUGAAAAAUUAGAGUGUUUAAAGCAGGCUAACGCUUGAAUACAUUAGCAUGGAAUAAUGAAAUAGGACGAUCGAUCCUAUUUUGUUGGUUUCUAGGAUUGACGUAAUGAUUAAUAGGGAUAGUUGGGGGCAUUAGUAUUCAAUUGUCAGAGGUGAAAUUCUUGGAUUUAUUGAAGACUAACUACUGCGAAAGCAUUUGCCAAGGAUGUUUUCAUUAAUCAAGAACGAAAGUUAGGGGAUCGAAGACGAUCAGAUACCGUCGUAGUCUUAACCAUAAACUAUGCCGACUAGGGAUCGGAUGAUGUUAAUUUUUAAUGACUCAUUCGGCGCCUUAAC